GUCCUUUUGAUUUUUAUUUAAGGUCUAGUCUGCCCACUGAAUUUAUAUUUUAAAUGGCCGCAGUAUUUUGACUGUGCAAAGGUAGCAUAAUCAUUAGUUUUUUAAUUAAAAGCUUGUAUGAAAGGCUGGACGAGGUAAGAUCUGUCUCUAUUUAAAUUAUAAUAGAAUUUAACUUUUAAGUUAAAAGGCUUAAAUAUUAUUAAAAGACGAGAAGACCCUAUAGAUCUUUAUAAUUUAUUUAAUAAAAUUAAUUUAGAAAUGUUAAUAUUUUUAUUUAAUUAAAUUAUUUUAUUGGGGUAAUAGAAAGAUUGAAUUAAUUCUUUUUUAUUAUAAACAUUAAUUUAUGAAUAUUAAAUGAUCCAGUUUUACUGAUUAUAAGAUUAAGUUACCUUAGGGAUAACAGCGUAAUUUUUUUAGAGAGUUCAUAUCGAUAAAAAAGUUUGCGACCUCGAUGUUGGAUUAAAGAUUAUUUUAGGUGCAGAAGCUUANUAAUUUUGGUCUGUUCGACCAUUAAAUCUUUAC
rnacentral:rRNA from 1 species